rnacentral:lncRNA from 1 species
UUUCCCGGCCCCGGUUUGUUGGCGUCGUGAAAGGGCACGUAGGGUUCCCCCCCCCCAAAAAGAAAAGAUUAAAGACGCCAAUCCAAUGAGGCGGCAUACCUGACAGAAAGUUUGGAUGGCUUUUAAGUACAGCCCCAGGUGCUUCGCGUAGGGGACUCUGGUUUUUGUGUAAGAUGCCGCUGAAACCAGUUGAGAUUUGUCUCUGCGCCCUACUGCAGAAUUGAGGCUUCAGCCCUUAAUACGCUUCUUGCUGUUUUUCUUCCAUCCUAGUUGAUCUCCAGCUGGUGCUGAAUCAGGUGACAACACUAGAGCUGAAGGCCCGGGAAGGAUCCACAGAUAACUCAUCUCUGUGGAGCUGGCUACAUGACUUCACUGUUAGAGGAAAUGGGAAACCUGAAGUGGCUGAGCCAGGCACAUGGUGCAUAGUGCCAUACACGCUACAGAUAAGUAAGCAGACAGGAAUCAGAUUUGAAAGACGCGACGCAUGUGCCUGAGUCAAGUAUGUACAUAAAUGCUUGAAGGAUCAGGGCCUAAGCCGAACACAUGGUCAAGAUGCUGCUCACUUACAAUGCAUCUGUUAUUGGUGGCAAUAAAAUCAAGCUGAAUACAUUCAGCUUCUGGUCCUGUUGCCCCUAUAGUGUGAUGGCCACUGCAAAGGAAUGUUUUGGAAACGAAAGGUGGACGCUUGAGGGAAAAUUUCUUCACCUGCAACAAAAUAGCUGUUUUCAUAGCAGAAUUUGCAAGAUUUUUAAAAAAAUACGUAAAUUUUUGCCCUAAAUCAGUAUGGCAAUAUCCCCCUUAACUCAGUAGAUCUAAACUAAACUCAUGCAGAUCUUCAGUUAAGUCUUGCUAAAAAGGUUGUGUGUUUUUUUGGAACCUACUAACUGUGCUAAGAUAACAAACAGAAUUGCGGAGUCUCUUUUGGUAUGGAAUAGAAUGCAUACCUGCAUGUUUAUUUAAUAAAUAUUUACUGAUAUAUGUACA